AUGAUGGUCUUCAUUCCUUCUUGGUGGCGGUGGCAGAGGAGGAAGGCCUGCGUUGCCAUGCGGGCAGUCCUCGCGAGGCUGAUCUCUCCAAGCUCCCUCGCGAGGCUGGUCCUGCCAGCGGUCCUCGCGAGGUCGGUCACGCCACCCUUGGCGAGGGCCACGGUCGUCCCAUCGUCCUCCACCUCUUGCUCCGCCUCGGCCGUAGCCCCGAUCGUUGCGCUCGGGACGUCGACCGACACGGCCUUCUCGCACGGCCCUGAGCUCUUGGCACUCGUUGGUGUUGUGGGUGUGGAGAUCGUGGUACACACAGUAUCGGCUGCCCUUGGACGACUCCAGCUGGUCCCUGCCGCGCUUUGUGUCUGGCUCCGCUGCGAGUACAGCUGCUCCCUUACGCUUCACAUCCUUGGCCUUGGCUUUCUUCUCUUCUGGGUCCGUUGCUGGGAGCUCGAGAAGGGAGAGGCGCCCUUCCUUAGCCCUUGCGCACUUGGUCGCCAGGUUGAACAACUCCAGAGACGUGCACAGAUCUUCAUAGAUUGCCAGCUCCUUCUUCAUCUUGACGUCGCGAACGCCAUCAGAGAACGCCGAAAUGAUGGCCUCCUCAGUCACCCUGGGAAUCUUGAGGCGAGCGUUGUUGAAGCGCUGAAUGUACUUCUGCAAGGUCUCUCCAGGCUGCUGCUUGAUGCGGCGCAGGUCACCCACGGCCGGCGGACGGUCGUGAGUGCCUUGGAAGUUGGCGAUGAAGCGGGUGCGCAUCUCGUCCCAGGAGGAGAUUGUGCCAGGAGCCAGGUUCAGGAGCCAGGUGCGGGCAACGUCCUUGAGCGCCAUGGGAAACCAGUUCGCCAUGACCUUUUCGUCCCCGUUGGCGGCUUCGAUGCCCAGCUCGUAGAGCUGCAGGAACUCCGCGGGGUCUGCAGUGCCGUCGUAGCGAGGAGGCAGGUCAGGCUUGAACUUGCCUGGCCAGGCGACACUGCGUAG
rnacentral:rRNA from 1 species